rnacentral:rRNA from 1 species
CCUACGGGAUGCUGCAGUGAGGAAUAUUGGUCAAUGGGCGCGAGCCUGAACCAGCCAAGUAGCGUGAAGGAUGACUGCCCUACGGGUUGUAAACUUCUUUUAUAAAGGAAUAAAGUGAGGCACGUGUGCCUUUUUGUAUGUACUUUAUGAAUAAGGAUAGGCUCACUACGUGCCAGCAGCAGCGGUAAUACGGAGGAUCCGAGCGUUAUCCGGAUUUAUUGGGUUUAAAGGGAGCGUAGAUGGGUUGUUAAGUCAGUUGUGAAAGUUUGCGGCUCAACCGUAAAAUGGCAAUUGAUACUGGCAGCCUUGAGUGCAGUUGAGGUAGGCGGAAUUCGUGGUGUAGCGGUGAAAUGCUUAGAUAUCACGAAGAACUCCGAUUGCGAAGGCAGCCUACUAAACUGCCACUGACAUUGAUGCUCGAAAGUGUGGGUAUCAAACAGGAUUAGAUACCCGAGUAGUC